rnacentral:rRNA from 1 species
UACGAAGGGGGCUAGCGUUGCUCGGAAUCACUGGGCGUAAAGCGCACGUAGGCGGAUUGUUAAGUCAGGGGUGAAAUCCUGGAGCUCAACUCCAGAACUGCCUUUGAUACUGGCGAUCUUGAGUCCGGGAGAGGUGAGUGGAACUGCGAGUGUAGAGGUGAAAUUCGUAGAUAUUCGCAAGAACACCAGUGGCGAAGGCGGCUCACUGGCCCGGUACUGACGCUGAGGAGCGAAAGCGUGGGGAGCAAACAGGAUU